GAAACUAGAAAGAAGGGAAUUAUGGGAAAGGAGGUUCCGGUUAUUCUUGCAGCCGGUUUGGUUUUUAUGUGUGGCUGUUAGAAGGCGGGAGUAUUAGCUGGUCAAUCAGAUGACAGUAAAGAGAGCGAUCGGAUGGUCUUGAAGUCAAAAGUCCAGAACCUGCAAAGCCAAAUUUAUGAGUCAAACUUAUAAACUUGCCAAACCUUUUGGAAACAUUAUGCUAUUUUGUGACUUAUAAAUUUGACACAUAUUUAAAAUAUAAAACUUCAAAUGAGAUUGUAAUAGUUGAACUACAAUCAAAACACACUAGAAAACUGAAUGCAAAUUCUUUAAAACAUUGCUAAUAAUGGAGUGACAUUUUGUUUUCAUUCUCCACCUUCCCAGCAGGUGGGAGAUGUGAUUGGUGUCCUGCUGUGAGGGACAAAGGAACAGUGCAAUGGUUUUCUCUUGCCUGUAUUCUAAAUCUCAUCACCUGGCUGACAAAAUUGAUAGCAAGGCACUCUGGACUCUCAUGUUAUCCUGCAAUUUCUAAAAGUCAUCAACUGGAUCAUUCUACUCAGAUCUGUUUUCUCCUGCCUAAGCUGAUACAAAAGUUGAUUACCUCUUCCUUCCUCUUCCAACUCAAAGAUCAUCAAAUCCAAAUUAUUCAGAUGUUAUUAUAAAAUGUAACUCUCCACAGACAUGGAAUCAACACAUCAGUGGCAGAUUGGAUAAAGAAAAUAUGGUGCAUAUACACCAUGGAAUACUGUGCAUCCAUAAGAAAGCAUGAGAUCAUGUCCUUUGCAGGAACAUGGAUGGAGAUGGAGACCAUUACCCUUAGCAAACUAACACAGGAACAGAAAAUCAAAUACUGCAUGUUCUCACUUAUAAGUGGGACCUAAAUUAUGAGAACACACGGAUACAAAGAGGGGAACAACAGACACUGGGGCCUACUUGAACGUGGAGGAUGGGAGGAGGGAGAGGCUCAGAAAAAAAUAGCCAUUGGGUACUAGGUUUAGUACCUAAGUGAUGAAAUAAUCUGUACAACAAACCCCUGUGACACAAGUUUACCUAUGUAACAAACCUGCAGAUGUAUCUCUGAACCUAAAAGUUAAAAUAAGAUAA
rnacentral:lncRNA from 1 species